GCCGGCGUGGCGGAAUAGGCAGACGCAAGGGACUUAAAAUCCCUCGGGGGCAACCCCAUCCCGGUUCGACCCCGGGCGCCGGCACCC
rnacentral:tRNA from 1 species